AUCAGCAGCCAUAUCACCCUGCAACUCACAACUGGCAGCCCACUGGAGCUCAGCAGGUGUGAGCCUGGUCAGCACCUGGAUGGGAGACCUCCUAGGAAAAACUAAGGUUGCUGCUGGAA
rnacentral:rRNA from 1 species